rnacentral:lncRNA from 1 species
GAUUCAUGCUUGCCCUCUACUCACGGCGCAGCUGUGUUACAUGCCGAGUAAAAGAACGAAGCGAGAUUGAAAGCAACACCAGAAACCCCAGCCCUCGCUCUUGCUUGCGGCGGUGCAGCUGCCAGGUCGGCGGUGGGACACCGGGGACUGCCAUCCCACUGGGAAGAAAAUAAACCAGCAGCGACCAGGUCUGCCUUCGGCAAACACUAAUGAAGCAUUUUGGGCGUGUUUCUGUUCACGUGACUCUUAGUACAAUAAUGCAAAAUGUACAAAUCAAACCAAAUCAGGUGCGAAUAUUAAUGUCGUUGUUGAAUCCGGAUUUCUUAGAUGGUGGCGCAGCGUCUGUGGCCGAAUAUGCGCAGAACUGCUGGUGGCUAGACGAGAGGAACCCGACAGCUAGCUAUCACAUUUUUCAAGGGCUUAUUCCUAGCUGUUUAAUACCUCAUAUGCUCUCUUGGGGAGGGAGUAGAGAAGAACGGAGGAGUAUAUUUGGCACAGCAAGGAAGUGGACUCAGGUCUUUUCCAUCCGUUAGUGCUGUGCCGAGGGAGAGAAAGCGUGGUCCCGCAGUGGUGCUGAUCCUCCUCCACAGCGAGCUGAACGGUUUGAACUGGAGCAACUCCUCUCAUUUUUCCCCCAUGUGAGUGUGAGUCAGGCUGAGCUUCUCUAUUCUUCUCCAUAAUUGAGUAGGAGAUUAUUUUGACUGGAAAGAACCAGACGCAGGUGUCAUGGCUGUGAACGUCUCCGUGCAGGCCACUUGCUGAAAGUCCUGUAAUGUUCUGCGAGGGAAGUUGGGCUUUAAAGGGUUGGCUCAAUGGAGAGGGAAGAAAAGGAGAGGGGAAGAAUAGCUCCUUCCUGCUCACUUCUGUCUGUCACGGUCUCUUCUAAACUGAACCGGCUGAAUUGUUGGUGGCAUGCUGUUCCUCAGAAGCGGCUCUUUUGUGGAAGGGCUCCCCGGCGACACGGGACGAGACGGGAAAUAUCAGCCACGUCGUGUCUUGCUACAGGAGCUUUUAGCUGCUAUUCCAGUCCCUGCCACAGACGUGCCAAGAAAGUUACAGAACAGCGUUCCUCUAAAAAAAUCUCCCAGGGAAUCUCCCCAUGCACGCGUUUUCCUGUUUCUUCACUUCGUUUUUCCGUAGUGCCCUCUCAUGGCCGUGUGCUUGGGUUGUACUUUGCACCCCUUGGCCGUGGAUUCAGCAAGCGCUGGAGCGCAGCGCAGCACGGAAGAGAAGCAGAGCCGGCACAGAGCUACUAUGAAUGUCCGUCCAGAAAAGUCACUGGCUUAAAAAAGAGGUCAUGUACAACUGAAAGAUUAUUUUCAAAGUCAAUGUGA